UACACGAAGAAUCACAGGACAGCAAUUUUCUAUUUCCAUCUGGGAUGAAAGGGAAAAAAAUUCCUUUUUUUACCACCUGGUUUUCUUAAUUUCUCCUCCCUUUAGAAGGGAUGCUAAGUAUGGGUUUUCCUAAGGUAUUUUGAAAAUGCACCUCUGUGAAUUUUUGGAAUUCAUGAAGUUGAAGAACUUAAUGAUUGUGCUUUGACUCCUCUCUCAUAAAUGGUAAGUUAUGAAUUGUAUUAUAGGAAAAUAUGAACCUUGUCCUCAUGUUAACUAAGGCAGUGUUCUGAACUGCUCAUCACAAAUGAGAACUAUAAUGAUGUUCAUAAUUUUAUAAUUAUCCAAAUAAUCUUGAUUUCAGUGUAGUUCUCCAAACCCAAAUACAGAUAUGUUAUACUAAUAGAUUAGUGUAAGAGUAAGAUCUAGAAAGUAUGUAUAUUUGGGGACCUGUUUUAAUGAGGUAUUUCAUUGACAUUUUGAACAAAAUUGUUGCAGAACACCAUUACCCUGUAACCUAAAAGUUCUGAGUCAGAAGGAGACAGAAACCAUGUAAUCAUAAAAUAUGUUGCUAUGGAAGGGGCCAUCAGUAUUGUUAAAGUCCAAGUCCUGGCCCUGUGCAGAACACCUCAUAAGCUGAGAGCAUUGUCCAAAUGUUCUUGGACUUUUGUCAGGCUUGGUGCUGUGUCCAUUUCCCUGGAAAUCAUGUUCCAGUACUCAGUCGUCCCCCAGGUGAAAAAUCUUUCCUGGUGUUGAGUGUUAAGCUCCCCUGACUAAGCUUCAUGCCUUUUUCUUGAGUGUUGUGACUGAUGGCAAGAGUGAAGAGAUCCGUACCUGCUGCUCCACUUCUCCUUGUGAGAAUGAUGAAAACCACAAUGAAGUCUCCUCUACUGUUGCAAUAUGUUCUGCUAAAAGGACUCUACUGUCUAUAAUUGAAAUAUAAUUCCCUCUGUACCACUGAGUACAGAAGGAAGUUUGAGUCUUUUUUAAGCUAAAGCUCUCUAUUUAAACUUGGGUCAGAAUAUGAGUCAAGAUCAUCUUUGUUCUUGUGUCUUUGUCAGAAUGAGUAACAUCUUUGGCUCAGGUUCUCUUCUCUUUGGAAGCCCAGAGGAAAAAGGCUCAGGAUAUCACCAGCUUCACAUCACUUUCCCAACAGUUACAUGGAACAGCAGCUGUCAUACUGGAGGAAACCCAGCGAGUCUGUCCAAGAGGAGCUGUACAGCCACCAGCCAUAUUCCCUGGGGAUCCAUCACCAGCAGGAAUCCUGUGUCUUUGGAGCAGUCAUUAAUGUUCCAGCCAGUACAGCUCUGAGUGAAACAUUAUCUUUCAGUUUGAAAUGUCCCUAGGACAUGUGUAUUUUUACUGCUGGAAGGAAAGACCAAUGAUAUGCAAGAUGGAGAGCAAGAAAUUUCACAGGACAGGAAUGUUCAUUUAUGCAGAGCUGCAUCAGGUAUAUGCUCAAAAGAAAAAAAUUGUCAAGAAGUGACGGUGUUUAACAGUGUGAGAAAGAGAUAAUCAAUAGAUAGACCAGACUACAGAUGUGACCUUUCAUGGCACUGAUGUUGAUGUAGUCUUAAACUGAAAAAAAACAAGCUUGCUUCUGUGGAUUAAACACAAGGAAAUGCAUGUAGAAGAUGAACUUUCUAUUAAUACUCUUAUUUUUAAGUCUCUGUAAUUUUUUUUUAAGUGCUGAAGGAUUAUUCAUUUUGAUACAUUGUUUCUCCAACAGAUAGGCAAUUAAUUGAAAUGGCCAAUAUUUUUUCUGAAAGUAUUAAUCACUGUAUUUUAUUUUGUAAUACAAGAUCAUAUUGUUCUAAGGAUUGUCAUUCUUGGAUGUGUUUGAUUCAAAUGAAAACAAAGGAACCAGAAGUAUAUGUUUACUUGAUUCAAAAACACAGCUAGUAAGCUGGUCUUUUGCUUCAUUCAGCAAACAUUCCUGACAGAUACUUUUCAUGUGUUCUCAAAAACUCCUAGUGAUGUAGAUCCCGAAACUUUAUAAUAGAUUAUGCUACUGUUCUGUUAUAAAAUUUAAAAGUCCCCUUUUUUUUUUCCAAUGUCACAGUUUCAUUUUGUAACAUAAACCUUCGAUAGUUCUUUAUAUAUUGACAUAAUGGGAAUGACAAAUAGUCUAUAUAUGCCCUCUUCAAUUAAAACUUUUUUAAUAAGAAAUUUGUGACAGUGCUAGGCUGCAUUUGAAGAUGGGUAGAAAGGAAAAUAAAGUUUAAAACUAUUAUAGUGUUCUUCUUAAUAUCUCUAAAUAAAGGCAUUUUCGUUUGAAA